CCUACGGGAGGCAGCAGUGGGGGAUAUUGGACAAUGGGGGCAACCCUGAUCCAGCCAUGCCGCGUGUGUGAAGAAGGCCCUCGGGUUGUAAAGCACUUUCAGUGAGGAAGAACGCCUGGUGGUUAAUACCCAUCAGGAAAGACAUCACUCACAGAAGAAGCACCGGCUAACUCCGUGCCAGCAGCCGCGGUAAUACGGAGGGUGCGAGCGUUAAUCGGAAUUACUGGGCGUAAAGCGCGCGUAGGUGGCUUGAUAAGCCGGUUGUGAAAGCCCCGGGCUCAACCUGGGAACGGCAUCCGGAACUGUCAAGCUAGAGUGCAGGAGAGGAAGGUAGAAUUCCCGGUGUAGCGGUGAAAUGCGCAGAGAUCGGGAGGAAUACCAGUGGCGAAGGCGGCCUUCUGGACUGACACUGACACUGAGGUGCGAAAGCGUGGGUAGCAAACAGGAUUAGAUACCCUAGUAGUC
rnacentral:rRNA from 1 species